rnacentral:rRNA from 1 species
AUAGCCUACGGGGCGCAGCAGUGGGGAAUAUUGCACAAUGGGGGAAACCCUGAUGCAGCGACGCCGCGUGAAGGAAGAAGUGUUUCGGUAUGUAAACUUCUAUCAGCAGGGAAGGAAAUGACGGUACCUGACUAAGAAGCCCCGGCUAACUACGUGCCAGCAGCCGCGGUAAUACGUAGGGGGCAAGCGUUAUCCGGAUUUACUGGGUGUAAAGGGAGCGUAGGCGGUGCAGCAAGUCAGAAGUGAAAGCCCGGGGCUCAACUCCGGGACUGCUUUUGAAACUGUUGAA